UACAGGGGGGGCAAGCGUUGUUCGGAAUUACUGGGCGUAAAGGGCUCGUAGGCGGCCGGCUAAGUCCGACGUGAAAUCCCCAGGCUUAACCUGGGAACUGCGUCGGAUACUGGCGGGCUUGAAUCCGGGAGAGGGAUGCGGAAUUCCUGGUGUAGCGGUGAAAUGCGCAGAUAUCAGGAGGAACACCGGUGGCGAAGGCGGGUCUCUGGGCCGAUACUGACGCUGAGGAGCGAAAGCGUGGGGAGCGAACAGG
rnacentral:rRNA from 1 species